rnacentral:rRNA from 1 species
AAAAAGCACGGCUAACUACGUGCCAGCAGCCGCGGUAAUACGUAGGGUGCAAGCGUGUCCGGAAUUAUUGGGCGUAAAGAGCUCGUAGGCGGUUUGUCGCGUCUGCUGUGAAAUCUGGGGGCUCAACCCCCAGCCUGCAGUGGGUACGGGCAGACUAGAGUGCGGUAGGGGAGAUUGGAAUUCCUGGUGUAGCGGUGGAAUGCGCAGAUAUCAGGAGGAACACCGAUGGCGAAGGCAGAUCUCUGGGCCGUAACUGACGCUGAGGAGCGAAAGCAUGGGGAGCGAACAGGAUUAGAUACCCUGGUAGUCCAUGCCGUAAACGUUGGGAACUAGAUGUAGGGGCCAUUCCACGGUUUCUGUGUCGCAGCUAACGCAUUAAGUUCCCCGCCUGGGGAGUACGGCCGCAAGGCUAAAACUCAAAGGAAUUGACGGGGGCCCGCACAAGCGGCGGAGCAUGCGGAUUAAUUCGAUGCAACGCGAAGAACCUUACCAAGGCUUGACAUAUACCGGAAACGUCCAGAGAUGGUCGCCCCGCAAGGUCGGUAUACAGGUGGUGCAUGGUUGUCGUCAGCUCGUGUCGUGAGAUGUUGGGUUAAGUCCCGCAACGAGCGCAACCCUCGUUCUAUGUUGCCAGCACGUUAUGGUGGGAACUCAUAGGAGACUGCCGGGGUCAACUCGGAGGAAGGUGGGGAUGACGUCAAAUCAUCAUGCCCCUUAUGUCUUGGGCUUCACGCAUGCUACAAUGGCCGAUACAAAGGGCUGCAAUACCGUAAGGUGGAGCGAAUCCCAAAAAGUCGGUCUCAGUUCGGAUUGAGGUCUGCAACUCGACCUCAUGAAGUCGGAGUCGCUAGUAAUCGCAGAUCAGCAACGCUGCGGUGAAUACGUUCCCGGGCCUUGUACACACCCCCCGUCAAGUCAUGAAAGUCGGUAACACCC